UCUCCAUCGUCUGAUCUGGAUCUGGAGACAACAGAGACCAGGAUGAUGGCAUCUCUCCCGUCUGUCCAUCAGUCUCACAUAUGUUUGGUGACUAAACAGUGUGUGUGUCUCUUUAAGCAGCUCAAAGAGCAGAGCCUGUUUGUUCAGUCUGUUAAUGUGUAAACCUGCAGCAGGAACAACUCCUCACAUCUGAAACUGAACUUACAGCUGUCUGCACCAUGGACACAGGAAUCAGUCAAUAUGAUUAAACUGCUGCUGCUUCAAGUCUCGCUGAGCUGCGACUGAGAA